AGGACAUUGGUCCUGACUGAAUGUGAGAUUGGGGAUGGAUGCCAGGUUGUGGCGCACGUGCUAAAGAGCAUCCCGAAUCUGGAGAGACUCGUGCUGCAAGAUUGCAUGAUCUCAGGGAGUUGCAUGAUGGCCAGCCGCCGAGGCGCAGCACUCCGCGGGUGCUGCGAGAACCUCAAAUCCAUACGAGUCAAGUAUGAAGGGCACGAUGUCGCUCAUGUGCCGGUUGCCGCGUUGAGGGGAAAUCAAAGGAUGCAGUCAAGCUACACCGCGGGGAAAGACCAACCAGUUCCGUUGAGUGGCGCCACUGGCUGAAGCGUAUCGCCUUGUGCAGCAGCCACGCAAUUCACCUCAGCCAGCGAUAUGUAGCUUCCAUCACCACUGCGCCUGAGUCCGAUGAGGAGCACGAGUCCACUGCAUGGAAGCACCGUGCCGGCAAGAAGCAUGCCAGGGACAGCGCCAUCAAGGCACGCCGAAGGGGGCGCCUAGACCGGUUCUGAAAAUUGAUCGACCCACAAGGUGGACAACCUAAUAAGCAGUGCACUGCAGACUGAACCCGGCCUUCAGGCCUUUUGGGAUCUCACCGGUCUCUAGGUCGGUUUG